GGGCAUGUAGUGUAGGGGUUAUCGCGCCUCAUUUGCAUAUGAAAUUGCGCUUACGUAAGUGCUUACAUAAGCGUUGAGGAGGUCUUGGGUUCAAUUCCCAACUUGUCCA
rnacentral:tRNA from 1 species